AAAAGCUAGCUCAAAUACCUUAGUUAAAUUAACAACUUUUAUCACUACUCACUCACCCGAAACUUCUAAACUAAAUCAUUUAUCCUCCCCAGUAUGGGCGACAAAAAAGGAUCCUAUGAAGCUAUAGAUAAAGUACCGCAAGGGAAAGCUGAAAAAGAAAUGAAAAAACACAUCAAAGCACAAAAAAGCAGAGAACUCUUCUCGUACCUUUGGCAUCAUGAUUC
rnacentral:rRNA from 1 species